rnacentral:rRNA from 1 species
GACGAACGCUGGCGGCGUGCUUAACACAUGCAAGUCGAACGGUAAGGCUCCAGCUUGCUGGGGUACACGAGUGGCGAACGGGUGAGUAACACGUGGGUGACCUGCCCUGCACUUCGGGAUAAGCCUGGGAAACUGGGUCUAAUACCGGAUAGGACCAUGGUGUGGAUACUGGGGUGGAAAGGUUUUUCGGUGUGGGAUGGGCCCGCGGCCUAUCAGCUUGUUGGUGGGGUAAUGGCCUACCAAGGCGGCGACGGGUAGCCGGCCUGAGAGGGUGGACGGCCACAUUGGGACUGAGACACGGCCCAGACUCCUACGGGAGGCAGCAGUGGGGAAUAUUGCACAAUGGGCGGAAGCCUGAUGCAGCGACGCCGCGUGGGGGAUGACGGCCUUCGGGUUGUAAACUCCUUUCACCAUCGACGAAGGGUUUCUGACGGUAGAUGGAGAAGAAGCACCGGCUAACUACGUG